rfam:Sus scrofa isolate TJ Tabasco breed Duroc chromosome 1, whole genome shotgun sequence.
UCCCUGGUGGUCUAGUGGUUAGGACAUAGCACUUUCAUUGCUGUAGCCUGGGUUAGAUAUCUGGUCUGGGAA